rnacentral:lncRNA from 1 species
UUCAUGUUGUUUCCAAAUAUGUACCUUCUAAAGUGAAAAAAUCGAGGAAGCACAAUGCCUGGAUCUCACGUGACAUCAUUCACGCCAAACGUAAGGUCAAGCGUCU